AUGUGGCCCCCAAACCCCCGCCUCCCUCCCCACCCCGCGAUGUCAGAAAAAACACAACAGGGGAAAUUGGCCGCAGCCAAGAAAAAGUUAAAAGCAUAUUGGCAGAGGAAGAGCCCUGGCAUUCCAGCAGGAGCUAACAGGAAAAAGAAAUCAAUGGCAGUAGCCCUGACACAGCCACUUCUGGUGGUUACCACUCACCUGGGGAUGUUCGCACAUCUAAGGAGGAGAAGAAGCAUAAGACACAUCGGGUACAGAAGCUUGGGAGGAGCUUGUUCAAAUUCAAAAAGCAGACGGGUAAGAUGGGGCUGGCAUGACCUGGCAGCAGGACUGGCAUUAGAGGGCUGUGGGGGUGACUUAGAAUGCCCCAGGGAGGUGGGUGGAUGGAAGGGCUUUGAGGCAGAGGGAAAGAGGUCUGUGCCAGGAGAGGACAAGUCUUGUCAUCUCCAUGAGCCUCAGUGUCCCCAUCAGUAAAGAGGGAGGAGUGCCCAUUGUCCACCACCCACAGUGCUCUCUAUCUGAAAGUGACUUGGAAGAUUGGCUACCAUCUGGGUGUGAGGAGGCAUUAGCAGUGAGGCCA
rnacentral:lncRNA from 1 species